AAACAUAUUUUUACUAGGAAAUAUGAUAUCAAUAUGCUGUGUCUAUCGUGUAUUAUCAGAGUACCUAACUGAAAUUAUUAUUUAACGAAUUCGCGCUUAGUUUGAAAUAGAAUAUCCUAUAAAGAAGGCUGUGUAUUUUGACGACAAAACCGAUAAAGGUGUGCCUCUCGCCCACGAUUUGGCUCUAGAGGUGUUAAAUGAUGGUAACUAGUCCGAAAUAGAAGAUUUAGCUAGCGAAAAUGAUGUUGCUUUUGACGUUCAGAUGUUUAAAAAUAACACCGAUGACAAGGAUAUCGAAGAAACUGUAUUAGAUGAAGAACCUGUAUUGGAUGAAGAACCUGUUCCUUCAACGAGCUCUUCUUCAGCAAAGAGGCAAUGGAAAGACAUGACAUUUCAGCAAAAAAUGUUUGUUCUAUUUUAGUUAGUAUGUAAUAGCAUAUUAUAAACACAAUUAUAAACAUAAUUUUUAUUUGGCCCUAAUGGUGUUUUACGUUUAAUAAAAAUGAAUUUUUUCAUACA